AAAUUUUCAGCCAAGUUUUCCUAGAGAUUUCGCCCACACGAAAUUGCUAUUUCCGGUAUUAUUUGGGUAACACAGUAGAAGACCGUGGAACGUUCGAGGAUCACGAUUGUGCGGGUGAUGGAGACUCCAUUGAGAAGUUAUGGAACAGAAGGCUCACGUGGUAGAAGAGAUAUGUUCACGCUUCAAGAGGUAACCCGUGAAAUCUCAUUU
rnacentral:lncRNA from 1 species